GCUUCGACGGGUAGCCGGCCUGAGAGGGUGACCGGCCACACUGGGACUGAGACACGGCCCAGACUCCUACGGGAGGCAGCAGUGGGGAAUAUUGGACAAUGGGCGGAAGCCUGAUCCAGCAACGCCGCGUGAGGGAUGACGGCCUUCGGGUUGUAAACCUCUUUCAGUAUUGACGAAGCGCCCGUGUGGGUGGUGACGGUAGGUACAGAAGAAGCACCGGCCAACUACGUGCCAGCAGCCGCGGUAAUACGUAGGGUGCGAGCGUUGUCCGGAAUUAUUGGGCGUAAAGGGCUCGUAGGCGGUUUGUCGCGUCGGGAGUGAAAACACUGGGCUUAACCGAGUGCUUGCUUUCGAUACGGGCAGACUUGAGGCAUUGAGGGGAGAACGGAAUUCCUGGUGUAGCGGUGAAAUGCGCAGAUAUCAGGAGGAACACCGGUGGCGAAGGCGGUUCUCUGGCAAUGUUCUGACGCUGAGGAGCGAAAGUGUGGGGAGCGAACAGGAUUAGAUACCCUGGUAGUCCACACCGUAAACGUUGGGCGCUAGGUGUGGGGCCUAUUCCAUGGGUUCCGUGCCGCAGCUAACGCAUUAAGCGCCCCGCC
rnacentral:rRNA from 1 species